UGUGGUGGUUAUAGCAAGCAGGUACCACCUGUUCCCAUGUCGCACACAGUCGUUAAGCUGCUUCGCGCCGAGGGUAGUUGGGGGAGCACCCCCUGCCAGCGUAGGUCGCUGCCACAC
rnacentral:rRNA from 1 species